GACGGCAUGUAUCUCGCGUUUUACGGGAAUUCCGGUUCCCGGACGAACGGAGAUAUAUAACUGUCCAAUGUCAAGUUGUUACCGUUGUGUGGUAUACACAAUUGCUAUCAGCCAAGCUGCAACGGAGAUAGAGUGCACAGGUACAAACGUGAGGUAAUGGAAACCACAAAUGACGAGAGAAACGCCACGCAGAGCAAGGAAUCUGAAGACGUCAGAGAAAGAAUGGAUGUGUACAACAGCGUCACUAUUAAACUGCCUAAGCAAUCACACUCGGGUUCUGCGGUGUCCGGGGCCAACGCCGACAAAAACGUAGACGUUAAAUUUAACUCCAACAUGGGUCAACAAGUCUGCAUGUCCAAAGAGAGCUUGACCAUCGCGGGGGUGGUUGUUGCUGCAGUCAUUGUCAUUGCCAUGAUAACAGUAAUCUUUGUCUAUAUUCGUUUAAGACUGACGUAAGACGCUAGAUAUCAAAGAUGAUAAGAUCGGACCGUCGAGCCACUGAACCAAUUAUUAAUUACUGUAUGAACAAUUUAUGUGCCCAGUCUUAUUCUGUGAAUUAAUAGUUGUAUUUCUCAUUUUAGUGUCGCUCCAAUGAGCAUUUGUAAAGAGUAGUUAGAGGAUACUGUGGGGAGGAAAUAUACAGUGCAUGUAAUUAUAAUCAUGAAUGGAAACGUCGUAAUCCAGUUAAGUGUAAAUAUUAUAAAAUUGUAUUCUUAAGUA